rnacentral:tRNA from 1 species
GGGGUUGUGGCUCAGUGGUAGAGUGCUUGCCUAGCUAGCAUGUGUGAGGCACUGGGUUCUAUUCUCAGUACCACA